rnacentral:lncRNA from 1 species
GAAAGACUGCCACCUUUAUCCUAUUAUGUUCGUGCAGUCUGUACUUUGAGAAGAUUCUCACCUUCUUUUGGGUCAAUAAGUGUUGACAGUGUCAAAAUCGUUACAAAAGUGAGCCCUUAAUGAGCUUCAAGUUGAUUUUUUUUUUCAGGACCUAGAUGACAUUUGCAGAGCCUACAGCAUAGUGAAGACAGAAUGAUUUCUGGCCGUCUCUCUGAGGUCCUUUUCAAGGUACAAUAAACAGAAAGCAGCUCUGCAAAGGGAGCAGCAAUAGCUGCUUAAUCAACAAUGGCUUCUACAAGAACGUCCAUCCCAGGAGCACAGCAGAACUGACAACGUAUCAUCUCUAUGACUGCUAGUCCAGCUUCUGGCUGAAAUGGGGCUGCUGUCAUCAGCACACAUGGGGCUGCUACAUGGAAGGAUUUUCUGGAGUAUUCAACCAAAGCCAGUCUGCAGUCCAGUACACAUCUGCAGCAAUGGAAGAAAUGUCCCAGGCUUUCCUGUUCCUCUGAGACAGAAGGAUGAUGCAGAGGUCCCUAACCUUGCUUGGGCCACUGGUGUUAGCAUUGCUGAGGCUUAAAUCCACAGCUGAAGGGCAGCUGCCUUCUAAGGUGAGCAAGACCCAGUUCACUUUACCUCCUCUGUGGCACUACUUCCUUUGGUGAAGUGGUAGUCCUGGAGCCUUCCGUCUUGGAAGAAGUCAAAUACUGACUUGGACUACAGACAGACCAGUUGCAAAAAAGUCUCGUUUUUAAUAGCCCUAGUGCUGAGUGCUUUGCAUCAACAUCCUUUUUUUUUUCUUUUUUUUUCUUUUUUUUUUUUUUUUUGCAGCAGUGUUAUUCUUAAACAUUGUGUAAUAUACUAGAUUUUAAGAUGAGAAUAGUAAUCUGGAAAUACCUGGUUUAGGCAUUUGGGGCUGAUCUAACAGCUGAAAUGAAACUGCCCUAUCUUACAUAGAGGACAUAAAAAACACACACACAAAACACAAGACAAAAG